rnacentral:rRNA from 1 species
AGUGAACGCUGGCGGCAGGCCUAACACAUGCAAGUCGAGCGGCAGCACAGUAAGAGUUUGCCCUUACGGGUGGCGAGUGGCGGAUGGGUGAGGCAUACAUCGGAUUCUUCUUUUUCGUGGGUGAUAACGUAGGGCAACUUACGCUAACACCGCAUACGACUUACCGGUCAGAGCAGGGGAUCUUCGCACCUUGCGCGUUUUUUUGAGUCGAUGUCGGAUUAGCUAGUUGGCGAGGUAAAGGCCCACCAAGGCGACGAUCCGUAGCUGGUCUGAGAGGAUGGUCAGCCACACUGGAACUGAGACACGGUCCAGACUCCGACGGGAGGCAGCAGUGGGGAAUAUUGGACAAUGGGCGAAAGCCUGAUCGAGCAAUACCGCGUGGGUGAUGAAGGCCUUCGGGUUGUAAAGCCCUUUUGUUGGGAAAGAAAAGCAGCAGAUUUAUACCCGGCCGUUCUGACGGUACCCAAAGAAUAAGCCCCGGCUAACUUCGUG